rnacentral:rRNA from 1 species
CAGACUUACACAUGCAAGCAUCCACGCCCCGGUGAGUAACGCCCUCCAAAUCAAUAAGACUAAGAGGAGCAGGUAUCAAGCACACAUCUUGUAGCUUACAACGCCUCGCUUAACCACACCCCUACGGGAGACAGCAGUGACAAAAAUUAAGCCAUAAACGAAAGUUUGACUAAGCCAUGUUGACCAGGGUUGGUAAAUCUCGUGCCAGCCACCGCGGUCAUACGAUUAACCCAAGCUAACAGGAAUACGGCGUAAAACGUGUUAAAGCACUACAUCAAAUAGAGUUAAAUUCUAAUUAAACUGUAAAAAGCCAUAAUUACAACAAAAAUAGAUGACGAAAGUAACCCUACUGCAGCUGAUACACUAUAGCUAAGACCCAAACUGGGAUUAGAUACCCCACUAUGCUUAGCCCUAAACACAAAUAAUUACAGAAACAAAAUUAUUCGCCAGAGUACUACCGGCAACAGCCCGAAACUCAAAGGACUUGGCGGUGCUUUAUACCCUUCUAGAGGAGCCUGUUCUAUAAUCGAUAA